CAUAGGUUAAUGAGGCGAACCGGGGGAACUGAAACAUCUAAGUACCCCGAGGAAAAGAAAUCAACCGAGAUUCCCCCAGUAGCGGCGAGCGAACGGGGAGGAGCCCAGAGCCUGAAUCAGUGUGUGUGUUAGUGGAAGCGUCUGGAAAGGCGCGCGAUACAGGGUGACAGCCCCGUACACAAAAAUGCACAUGCUGUGAGCUCGAUGAGUAGGGCGGGACACGUGGUAUCCUGUCUGAAUAUGGGGGGACCAUCCUCCAAGGCUAAAUACUCCUGACUGACCGAUAGUGAACCAGUACCGUGAGGGAAAGGCGAAAAGAACCCCGGCGAGGGGAGUGAAAAAGAACCUGAAACCGUGUACGUACAAGCAGUGGGAGCCUCUUUAUGGGGUGACUGCGUACCUUUUGUAUAAUGGGUCAGCGACUUAUAUUCUGUAGCAAGGUUAACCGAAUAGGGGAGCCGAAGGGAAACCGAGUCUUAACUGGGCGUUAAGUUGCAGGGUAUAGACCCGAAACCCGGUGAUCUAGCCAUGGGCAGGUUGAAGGUUGGGUAACACUAACUGGAGGACCGAACCGACUAAUGUUGAAAAAUUAGCGGAUGACUUGUGGCUGGGGGUGAAAGGCCAAUCAAACCGGGAGAUAGCUGGUUCUCCCCGAAAGCUAUUUAGGUAGCGCCUCGUGAAUUCAUCUCCGGGGGUAGAGCACUGUUUCGGCAAGGGGGUCAUCCCGACUUACCAACCCGAUGCAAACUGCGAAUACCGGAGAAUGUUAUCACGGGAGACACACGGCGGGUGCUAACGUCCGUCGUGAAGAGGGAAACAACCCAGACCGCCAGCUAAGGUCCCAAAGUCAUGGUUAAGUGGGAAACGAUGUGGGAAGGCCCAGACAGCCAGGAUGUUGGCUUAGAAGCAGCCAUCAUUUAAAGAAAGCGUAAUAGCUCACUGGUCGAGUCGGCCUGCGCGGAAGAUGUAACGGGGCUAAACCAUG
rnacentral:rRNA from 1 species